rnacentral:rRNA from 1 species
CCUACGGGAGGCAGCAGUCGGGAAUAUUGCGCAAUGGAGGAAACUCUGACGCAGUGACGCCGCGUAUAGGAAGAAGGUUUUCGGAUUGUAAACUAUUGUCGUGAGGGAAGAAAUUGACAGUACCUCAGGAGGAAGCUCCGGCUAACUAUGUGCCAGCAGCCGCGGUAAUACAUAGGGAGCAAGCGUUAUCCGGAUUUAUUGGGUGUAAAGGGUGCGUAGACGGGAAAUUAAGUUAGUUGUGAAAUCCCUCGGCUUAACUGAGGAACUGCAACUAAAACUGAUUUUCUUGAGUACUGGAGAGGAAAGUGGAAUUCCUAGUGUAGCGGUGAAAUGCGUAGAUAUUAGGAGGAACACCAGUGGCGAAGGCGACUUUCUGGACAGUAACUGACGUUGAGGCACGAAAGUGUGGGGAGCAAACAGGAUUAGAUACCC